rnacentral:sRNA from 1 species
GCCUCGGGCCUCCCACCCGUGUUGCCCGAACCUAUGUUGCCUCGGCGGGCCCCGCGCCCGCCGACGGCCCCCCUGAACGCUGUCUGAAGUUGCAGUCUGAGACCUAUAACGAAAUUAGUUAAAACUUUCAACAACGGAUCUCUUGGUUCCGGCAUCGAUGAAGAACGCAGCGAAAUGCGAUAACUAAUGUGAAUUGCAGAAUUCAGUGAAUCAUCGAGUCUUUGAACGCACAUUGCGCCCUCUGGUAUUCCGGAGGGCAUGCCUGUCCGAGCGUCAUUGCUGCCCUCAAGCCCGGCUUGUGUGUUGGGCCCCGUCCCCCCCGCCGGGGGGACGGGCCCGAAAGGCAGCGGCGGCACCGCGUCCGGUCCUCGAGCGUAUGGGGCUUCGUCACCCGCUCUAGUAGGCCCGGCCGGCGCCAGCCGACCCCCAACCUUUAAUUAUCUCAGG